rnacentral:rRNA from 1 species
CCUACGGGUGGCAGCAGUGAGGAAUAUUGGUCAAUGGACGAGAGUCUGAACCAGCCACGUAGCGUGAAGGAUGACUGCCCUAUGGGUUGUAAACUUCGUUUAUAAAGGAAUAAAACGAGGCACGUGUGCCUGUUUGCAUGUACUUUAUGAAUAAGGAUCGGCUAACUCUGUGCCAGCAGCCGCGGUAAUACGGAGGUUCCGAGCGUUAUCCGGAAUUAGUGGGUUUAAAGGGAGCGUAGAUGGGUUGUUAAGUCAGUUGGGAAAGUUUGCGGCUCAAACGUAAAAUUGCAAUUGAUACUGGCAGUCUUGAGUACAGUUGAGGUAGGCGGAAUUCGUAGUGUAGCGGUGAAAUGCUUAGAUAUCACGAAGAACCCCGAUUGCGAAGGCAGCUUACUAAACUGUGACUGACACUGAUGCUCGAAAGUGUGGGUAUCAAACAGGAUUAGAUACCCUGGUAGUC